GGGGAAUAUUGGACAAUGGGCGAAAGCCUGAUCCAGCCAUGCCGCGUGUGUGAAGAAGGUCUUCGGAUUGUAAAGCACUUUAAGUUGGGAGGAAGGGCAGUAAGCGAAUACCUUGCUGUUUUGACGUUACAAACAGAAUAAGCACCGGCUAACUCUGU
rnacentral:rRNA from 1 species